rnacentral:rRNA from 1 species
GACGAACGCUGGCGGCGUGCUUAACACAUGCAAGUCGAACGGAAAGGCCCUGCUGUUGUGUGGUGCUCGAGUUGCGAUCGGGUGAGUAACACGUGAGUAACCUGCCCUUGGCUUUCGGAUAACUUCAGGAAACUGGGGCUAAUACCGGAUAGGAACUCCUGCUUCAUGUUGUUUGUUGGAAAGUUUCGGCGGUUGGGGAUGGAUUCGCGGCUUAUCGGCUUGCUGGUGGGGUAGUGGCUUACCAAGGCUUUGACGGCUAGCCGGCCGGAGAGGGUGACCGGCCACAUUGGGACGGAGUGACGGACGGGACUGAUACGGGCGGCAGGCGUGGGGAAUAAAGAAUGAAGGGCGGACGCAUGAUGCAGGCAGGCAGCGUGCGGGAAGACGGACUUCGGGUUGUAAGCAGACUUCGCCUGUGAGGAAGCGUGAGUGACGGUAAUGAGUAAAGAAGCAACGGCUAACUACGUG